rnacentral:lncRNA from 1 species
CUCAGUGAUACAAAAAUAACACUUUACCAUAUUUAAUAUAUAUAUAUAUAUAUAUAUAUAUAUAUAUAUAUGGUCUUAGAGCUAGAAUAUAUGCAAUAAUAUUAAAGAAGUAAAAAUGAGUUGAUAGUCAGAAACCUAUUAGAAUGGUUCUAUUCCUCAGUGUCACAUUGUAUCUACUGGAUCUGUGUGUCAUCCCUAGAGCAGGGCGGCUCACGAUUUCUGGUUGACCUCGAAUGAUCCGUGCGCGCGCCUUGAUGAGAUUGAGGCGAUGACGCGUCAAAUCCACCAAUAGUGUCGCUGUCCGAGAAAAGAUGGUGUGAGAUGUUCAAACCUCAUCUCUUACAUCACACCAUCACACUCACUCCAUCUGCCCAUCUAAACAGAAAAUGCUUAGGGAAAAAUAGCUGGUUUAAAAUCGCGUCUCUUUGAAUGAGUUAACUGCUUUGAUUUACUGAAUUAAGCUUUUGAAGCAACUAAACCUUAAUUUUUUUUUUUUUGUUUUUUUUCUUUCUAAAUUGACUAUUUAUGAGCCGACUCUACUCGCCGACUCGACAGAUAGUCGCAGGUUACUUGAGAUAAACUACCUGGAGGACAAGCAAGACACCUUUGGAAAGUGGACUCGAGGGCCUUCGUGGUUUUGUAAAAGUACAAGAAUGAACCCCGUGAAUAUGAACAGUUUGAACGUAUCCAUCUCUGGAAACCAGCACGCGAAUCAGUUCGCCGUCUAUGAGUCUCCGCUGUACAAGGACUACAGACCUCCAGCCAGAGAUCUGAUCCAGCUCCCCAGAGCCCUGCUCUACCUGAUGAUGGCCGCGGUGGUGGUGGUCGCUGUCGCUUAUGCCAUUGUGGGACAUUUAAUUAAAGACCUCGCGCAUGACAUCUUGGACUGGGCUUUGGGUCCAGAUGAGGAGAUCUUAAAGGUCAACAGUGAGGCGGGUGAUGAUGGUUCCACGCACAUGCCACCAGGCCUCACACACUCCCCACCCCAACGCCUUUCAUGUUUGGGAUCAGGACGACGUGGUCAUCCCCCUCUCUCCAGUGGACAGCCCUCAAACCAGCCCCCUUUUGGCUACCAUCCCUUUUAUCCCUCACUUCUUCCCCUCUCCUGCUUCUCACAGUGUGCUGAAUAGCCCCGCACUGCCUCAAAUACACCCAGAGGAUAACAAGAGCCCCACAAAGACACCACAAGAUGCCUAUGUCUUCCCUUCACCCAAAAUGAAAGGACAUAGUUCCGCUUUCUCACACAUGUCAUUUCAUGAGAGAAGAGAUGGGACUGAUAAAGUUUGAACCACCGAACAAUGGCUCACACUAGAUUGUAGUCCAUGAAUUCUUAAAGGAAUAGUUCACCAUAAAAAGAAAAUUUGCUGAAUAUUUACUCACUCUCAGGACAUCCAAGAUGUCAAUAAGUUUGUUUCUUCAUCAGAACAGUUUUGGAGAAAUUAUAUCACUUGCUCACCAGUGGAUCCUCUGCAGUGAAUGGGUGCCGUCAGACUGAGAGUCCAAACAGCUGAUAAAAACAUCACAAAAAUCUACACCUUAUGAAGUGAAAAAUGGCAUGUUUGCAAUAAGCAAAUCCAUUAUUAAGAUGCUUUUAAUAAUGAAUUCGUAAAUUUUCUUUAAUAAUUAACUUUCUCUUGUGAAAAUGUUGUCUUGUCUGAAUCAGGAGUGAAAUAUCCACAAAUCAAGUACUGUUUACAAGCGAAAACAUUAAAAACUACAAAACAGUUCUAAACAAAUAUGUUGGUGGAUUUUAAUGUGAGAGGACAAGAGGAUGGACUUUUUCCACUGUUUAUUUUAUUAUGGACAUAAUCAUGGACUUUUUUUUGGCCAAAAGUGACAAUUAAAAGUUAACAUUCCUUGAUGGAUUUGUUUCUUACAAACACAAAGUUUACACUUCCCAAUACGUUAAUUGUUUGACUAAAAUCUUGUUGAUUUCUUGUGGAUUAUUUUUAUCAGCUGUUUGCACUCUCAUUCUGACGGCACCCAUUCACUGCAGAGGAUCCUCUGGUGAGCAAGUGAUGUAAUGCUAAAUUUAUACAAAUCUUUUCAGAUGAGGAAACAAACUCAUCCUCAUCUUGGAUAGCUUGAGGGUGAGGACAUUUUUAUUUUUGGGUGAACUAUUUUUUUAAGUUUAAAUCCCUCCCUUUAAAUAGAUGAAAUUAACUAAGAAACUUUUGGCUUCUUUGAUCAAUGCCCAAUGCCGGUGUUGUCUGUAUUUACCACAGUACCCUAAACUUUUCUAUUUGACUGCAAAAGCUGGGCCUCAACCUGUGGAGCAUAUGAGGAUGAGUGGCCUGUCCUCAAAGCUGAUAAAAACAUCACAAUAAUCCACAAGUAAUCCACACCACUCCAGUCCAUCAAUUAACAUCUAGUGAUUGAAAAGUUGCAUGUUUGUAAGAAAUAAAUCUAUCAUCAAGAUGUUUUUAACUUCAAACCAGCUAAAAUAUGUCCUCUAUCUAUAAUAUUGUUUUCUCCGGGGAUCUCGUCUGAAUUAGGAGAGAAUUAUACACAGAUGAAGCAUUUAUACCAUCAAAAACAGUUCUAAACAAAUAUAUCAGUGGAUUUUGAUGUGAGAGGACAACAGAGGAUGGACUUUUUCACUGGAGGGAGCAUUAUUAUGGAUUAUGGACUUCAGAAGUGACGAUUAAAUGUAAUGCCUUUAUGAUGGAUUUGUUCUUACAAACACACUAAGACUUUAAGGAUGUUAAUGGAUGGACUGAAGUCGUGUGGACUACUUGUGAAUUGCUUUUGAUUUUUUUUGUCAGCUGUUUGGACGUUCAUUCUGACGGUAACCAUUCACUUGCAUUGGUGAGCAAGUCAAACUCAUCUACAUCUUGUUUGGCCUAAGGGUGAGUAAAUUUUAAGCAUUUCGUUUUUUAGUGAACUAUCCUUAAGUUUUAAGUCCUUUCUUUAUAUGAAAAAAAAAAUCGAAUUAAGAAUCUUUUGGCUUCUUUGAUCAAUGGCCAAUGAAGGUGUUGUCUGUAUUUACCACAGUACCCUAAACUUUUCUAUUUGACUGCAAAAAGCUGGGCCUCAACUUGUGGACCAUGAGAAUGAGUAGGCCUGUCCUCAAAAUAAGUGCUGUUGACCCUAAAUGACCUCAAUAAGAAGAGAGCCAUGUAGUCCAUUUUUUGCUUUUAAGAGCCCUCCAAAAAUAUGUCCGUGACAAAACAUGUAUAAUAUUAUAGCGUUCUCAGACAAGGAGGAGGCAUUUGAUGCACAAGGGGUGUUUAUUAGGGCUGCCAACAAAAGAGCAACAAUAUGUAAGUGAUGUGAUAAGUCCCAGUUAUAUACAUAUAUGUACAUAAUAUGAGUGUGUAUGUGUGUGUUUUAGUGUCACACACACAACUGCAUAACACAACACCAAGAUACUGGUUUUAUUUAUUAACAGUAUGCUCAUUCAUUAAAUAAUGCUAAUACAUGCAGCACUUAGCAUAGAUAGAAUAUGGCAAUAUUUAAACUUACAAACAAAAAUAGCAGACAUUUAAGUAGUUUAGUUGUGUAGUUUAAGAAUGUAUUGUGCUUAAAGUAUAUGAAGUAUUAGAAAAAGCAGCUCAAUAAAUCACCUCAGAAUAAGUCACAUCCGGUUAAGAUUUCAUUCGCCGGCGUCUGUGAAGUUCAAAAGUUUCUCUCUGUUGAAGCAAGCUGUCUAAGAUUUGACCAGCUUCAUCGAAAAAUCGUUCUAUCUUUCCAAUAUUCUGUGCAGAUAAAAUUCGGGCCACGACCGCCGAGGCAAUAGCCUGAUUGGCAGGUGUUAUGGACCACGCGGUGUCUGACCUUCUUAACGGGUUCAAUGAUUAAGAAUCCCGCCUUUACCAUCGGAGGACCUUUUUGUGGUGGACCGUUCUCUUACGUGCUGCGUCAAGUAAGCCGUGUAGAGCUGCAUUAACCUCCCCAACCCCGUUCGGUACGACAAACGCAGUGAUUCGGCCGUGCCUUUAGGAACGGAUGCCAAACGAAUACCAUGAAUCCUCAUGUGCAGGUGGAUUGCUGCUCCAUUGAUCCACUGCUUUAUAUUAUUCGUGUUCAGCUGAUGAUCCACAGUCAUUCUCUCGUAGAGCUCGAUCAGAGCAUACUUCAGCUUCUGGUCAUAGAGUUCAGUUAUUUCUCCCAUUUCGUCAAUGUCAUUGGCCCCUCUUAGACACCAGUUUGAGGUAUUCGCUCGCAAUGCUGCCUAUUUCCGAAGAGUUAUCCAAUCCAAAUGGCUUCUUAAAUGGGUCUGUGCUCAAACCAUCCGUUUGACUAACAAUACUGGAUACAGGAGCUUCAAGCAGGAAAGAUAAAGCAAGUGCCACAACUGCCACGCCUCCGUAAGAUACGUUUGUGCUCUGUCUGAAAAUAGAGGUGAGGUUGGUGUCUAAAGCUGCCAGCUGUUCUGUGGUGAAGUUUUGCUGGACGGCCGUGUACUGCAGGUUGAGCGCGGUGCUGGAAUUAAGGGACAGGAGGUUUGCCACUGUCCCAUCAAGAGUGAUGUCAGGGAUGAUCCCACUGUCCUGGGCAACCCUGUAAAUAGUGUCUAUAGUUGCUGGAGAUGGGGUGCAGGGAUGAUUUCCCAUGCUUAAAUGCUUUAUUCUGCUCUUCUUAGUAGGUCAAAACAUGAAAGAGGACUCGUGCAGUGGAACUCAGACCAGAUGUUUUGAAAUGGCCAGCGGACAGUGCCAAAGUACACGGUUUUCUCCAUACAAAAGCAAACAACGUGACAAGUCAGGUUAAACAUUGACAGAUGUGAAUCUGGUAAACUAACCAAAUGAUCCAACAAGUAGAAAUUCCAGAUAUUUGUGUCUCUCUCUCUCUCUUUAAGCAUGUGUGUAGGCCAAUAGCCAC